rnacentral:misc_RNA from 1 species
UAAUAAGUGUUUUAUGGCACUUUUUAAAUCCAUAUCCACCUUGUGUGCAAUGUCAGUCGAUCUUCUUCAUGGAGAUCGACCAAACAUCAACCUUUAUCUUUUAACUCUUUGUCUGAAAAAUAUUAUGAAUAAACAACUCAGAAUA